rnacentral:rRNA from 1 species
UUUAUCCUACGGGGGGCAGCAGUGGGGAAUAUUGCACAAUGGGGGAAACCCUGAUGCAGCGACGCCGCGUGAGUGAAGAAGUAUUUCGGUAUGUAAAGCUCUAUCAGCAGGGAAGAAAAUGACGGUACCUGACUAAGAAGCCCCGGCUAACUACGUGCCAGCAGCCGCGGUAAUACGUAGGGGGCAAGUGUUAUCCGGAUUUGCUGGGUGUAAAGGGAGCGUAGGUGGCAUGGUAAGCCAGAAGUGAAAACCC